rnacentral:rRNA from 1 species
AGGUCUUCGGAUGCUGACGAGUGGCGAACGGGUGAGUAAUACAUCGGAACGUGCCUAGUAGUGGGGGAUAACUACUCGAAAGAGUAGCUAAUACCGCAUGAGAUCUACGGAUGAAAGCAGGGGACCUUCGGGCCUUGUGCUACUAGAGCGGCUGAUGGCAGAUUAGGUAGUUGGUGGGGUAAAGGCUUACCAAGCCUGCGAUCUGUAGCUGGUCUGAGAGGACGACCAGCCACACUGGGACUGAGACACGGCCCAGACUCCUACGGGAGGCAGCAGUGGGAAAUUUUGGACAAGGGGCGAAAGCCUGAUCCAGCAAUGCCGCGUGCAGGAUGAAGGCCCUCGGGUUGUAAACUGCUUUUGUACGGAACGAAAAGCCUGGGGCUAAUACCCCCGGGUCAUGACGGUACCGUAAGAAUAAGCACCGGCUAACUACGUGCCAGCAGCCGCGGUAAUACGGAGGAUCCAAGCGUUAUCCGGAAUCAUUGGGUUUAAAGGGUCCGUAGGCGGUUUAGUAAGUCAGUGGUGAAAGCCCAUCGCUCAACGGUGGAACGGCCAUUGAUACUGCUAAACUUGAAUUA